GUGGGGAAUAUUGGACAAUGGGCGCAAGCCUGAUCCAGCCAUGCCGCGUGAGUGAUGAAGGCCCUAGGGUUGUAAAGCUCUUUCAGUGGGGACGAUAAUGACGGUACCCACAGAAGAAGCCCCGGCUAACUUCGUGCCAGCAGCCGCGGUAAUACGAAGGGGGCUAGCGUUGUUCGGAUUUACUGGGCGUAAAGCGCACGUAGGCGGAUCGUUAAGUCGAGGGUGAAAUCCUUGAGCUCAACUCCAGAACUGCCUUCGAUACUGGCGAUCUUGAGUCCGGAAGAGGUGAGUGGAACUCCUAGUGUAGAGGUGGAAUUCGUAGAUAUUAGGAAGAACACCAGUGGCGAAGGCGGCUCACUGGUCCGGUACUGACGCUGAGGUGCGAAAGCGUGGGGAGCAAACAGGAUUAGAAACCCUUGUAGUCC
rnacentral:rRNA from 1 species